rnacentral:lncRNA from 1 species
AUGUAUGACACUUUACCGUGUCGAUCGACACUAACGUCAUAAAGUAUGUAUGACCGUCUUUCCUUAUUAAGUUUUUCCUUAUGAUUUUUUUUUUCACCAAUCUUAAACUGUAUAACACUAGGGAAAUUUGUUGUUUAUGUAUGGGAGAGGUAGAUACUGAUAUUGUAUUUUAUUUUGAUUUUAGUGUCAAUUUAUUUUUUUAUUGAGUCAAAAAGGGAUGAUGAAUUUUUUCAAUUUUUUAUUAUUAUCUAACUACUCUCUAGUGCUAUUCUUAAAUUUAUUAACUGCAUAAUGUACUGGAUGGAAACACCAAAAUGGAUAACCUACCAAUAACAUUCACCUUUGCUGAGAAUGUCCGAAGGAAUCAAAGUUGACUUCCAACCUUAAUCAACAGCGAUCACAUGUUUUUUUGUUGGGGUUUGGUAAAAUUUAGAUAUUAUGACUAAUUGUUGUGUCAAAAUGGUUAGUGAUACAAUAUAGUGACGACUUGUUGACCAAUUUGUGACAAAAUUAUUAUGUAGCAAAAUGGUUAUUAUUUGGUCACAGUUUUGUGACAAAAAUAAAACGUAACAAAAAAUUGUUACAAAUAAUUACAAAUUAGUGACGAAAAAUUCAGUCGUAAAUGUGUUAUUGAU